ACAGCAGUAGCCACGGUAACACGAAGGGGGCUAGCGUUGCUCGGAAUUACUGGGCGUAAAGGGAGCGUAGGCGGAUCGUUAAGUUGGGGGUGAAAGCCCGGGGCUCAACCUCGGAAUUGCCUUCAAUACUGGCUAUCUUGAGUAUGGAAGAGGUAUGUGGAACUCCGAGUGUAGAGGUGAAAUUCGUAGAUAUUCGGAAGAACACCAGUGGCGAAGGCGACAUACUGGUCCAUUACUGACGCUGAGGCUCGAAAGCGUGGGGAGCAAACAGGAUUAGAUACCCCGGUAGUCCCUGUCUCUUAUAC
rnacentral:rRNA from 1 species